rnacentral:rRNA from 1 species
UACGUAGGGUGCGAGCGUUGUCCGGAAUUACUGGGCGUAAAGAGCUCGUAGGUGGUUUGUCGCGUUGUCCGUGAAAACUCACAACUCAAUUGUGGGCGUGCGGGCGAUACGGGGCAGACUGGAGUACUGCAGGGGAGACUGGAAUUCCUGGUGUAGGCGGUGGAAUGCGCAGAUAUCAGAAGGAACACCCGUGGCGAAGGCGGCUCUCUGGAACGCAACUGACGGCUGAGACGCGAAAGCGUUGGGGAGCAAACAGG